GAUGAACGCUGGCGGCGUGCCUAAUACAUGCAAGUCGAGCGAACGGAUGAGAAGCUUGCUUCUCUGAUGUUAGCGGCGGACGGGUGAGUAACACGUGGAUAACCUACCUAUAAGACUGGGGUAACUUCGGGAAACCGGAGCUAAUACCGGAUAAUAUUUUGAACCGCAUGGUUCAAAAGUGAAAGACGGUCUUGCUGUCACUUAUAGAUGGAUCCGCGCUGCAUUAGCUAGUUGGUAAGGUAACGGCUUACCAAGGCAACGAUGCAUAGCCGACCUGAGAGGGUGAUCGGCCACACUGGAACUGAGACACGGUCCAGACUCCUACGGGAGGCAGCAGUAGGGAAUCUUCCGCAAUGGGCGAAAGCCUGACGGAGCAACGCCGCGUGAGUGAUGAAGGUCUUCGGAUCGUAAAACUCUGUUAUUAGGGAAGAACAUAUGUGUAAGUAACUGUGCACAUCUUGACGGUACCUAAUCAGAAAGCCACGGCUAACUACGUG
rnacentral:rRNA from 1 species